CCCGGUGCCACGUCUGCCAAAGCAUGCGCACCAAGCUAGGAGAGGCGGCCCGGAGAGAUGCCUGCCGGGAGUUGUAGUUCAGGAGCAGCUUGCCUCUACCUUGGACUUUGCCUGAGGACACAGAGCUGCAGCUUUCCAGGGCAUCUGAUCCCAUUUUCUGAUCUCCAAGGGCAUAAGGCAUGAUCGUGGUACUCAUACAUAUGGAGUCCCAGACAGGACCUCAGCCGUGACUGUUCCCAGUGCUGUCUGGGAGAAUGGCCCUAUGAUGUCAUAUCGAGGCACUUCAGAAAUUUCUAAAGCAGAUUGGAGACAUGGCUUUCUCACACACUCAGCAACUUCAGUCUCACAACUGACUUAACUCUUCUCAGGGAAUCUAUUUCUCAUCUGCAAAAUGAAGUUUGUAAGAAAAACCAAACCCCUUCCUGUGUUAGUGCUGUGUCCUUGUGACAAAAUACCCCACAGGAGUCUUAAGGAAGAGUUAUUUGCGUUUCUGAGUCGAGAGCAUGGAGAAGCACAGUCCUCGCCAUGUUGACCAGAAAGCAGGCUCAGAGCUGUUCGUGCUAGCUGACUUGCUUCUCUUACCUCUUCAUUCGAUCUGGGUCCUCAGUCUAUGGGACUGUGAGGCCUACAUUCAAGGUGGGUCUCUCUCCAGAACGCCUUACUUAAUCAUUUCUGGAAACAUUGUCACAAACAUGCCUACUCUGAUGCUGAGGGGAAAGCAGGCAGACCUGAGGGAAUACACCCUGUGGGUUUCUGUUAACCUCAAGUUCAACAGACAGGGGUGAUCUGUGAUGGUAGAAAGAAAAAUCAAGUUGGGAGGAAUAUAGGGGGACUCCCAGGAGCAUGAUGAAGCAUUGUGGGAGUGGAAGAUAUUGGAAUUAAAUGAUAGUUGCUAAAUGAUUUAUUAUGUAUAAAUGACAUUAAAAGUCAUGUAUUAAUUGAGCUGUAUUACCUAGGUUGUUACAGUAAC